AUUGAACGCUGGCGGAAUGCUUUACACAUGCAAGUCGAACGGCAGCACGGGAGCUUGCUCCUGGUGGCGAGUGGCGAACGGGUGAGUAAUGCGUCGGAACGUACCGAGUAAUGGGGGAUAACGCAGCGAAAGCUGUGCUAAUACCGCAUACGCCCUGAGGGGGAAAGUGGGGGAUCGCAUGACCUCACGUUAUUCGAGCGGCCGACGUCUGAUUAGCUAGUUGGUGGGGUAAUGGCCUACCAAGGCGACGAUCAGUAGCGGCUCUGAGAGGAUGAUCCGCCACACUGGAACUGAGACACGGUCCAGACUCCUACGGGAGGCAGCAGUGGGGAAUUUUGGACAAUGGGGGCAACCCUGAUCCAGCCAUUCCGCGUGAGUGAAGAAGGCCUUCGGGUUGUAAAGCUCUUUCAGCUGGAACGAAACGGUACGCUCUAACAUAGCGUGUUAAUGACGGUACCGGCAGAAGAAGCACCGGCUAACUACGUGCCAGCAGCCGCGGUAAUACGUAGGGUGCGAGCGUUAAUCGGAAUUACUGGGCGUAAAGCGUGCGCAGGCGGAUUGUUAAGCAAGAUGUGAAAUCCCCGGGCUUAACCUGGGAAUGGCAUUUUGAACUGGCAGUCUAGAGUGCGUCAGAGGGGGGUGGAAUUCCACGUGUAGCAGUGAAAUGCGUAGAGAUGUGGAGGAACACCAAUGGCGAAGGCAGCCCCCUGGGAUGACACUGACGCUCAUGUACGAAAGCGUGGGUAGCAAACAGGAUUAGAUACCCUGGUAGUCCACGCCCUAAACGAUGUCAACUGGUUGUUGGG
rnacentral:rRNA from 1 species